CCUACGGGCGGCAGCAGUGAGGAAUAUUGGUCAAUGGGCGCGAGCCUGAACCAGCCAAGUAGCGUGAAGGAUGACUGCCCUACGGGUUGUAAACUUCUUUUAUAAAGGAAUAAAGUGAGGCACGUGUGCCUUUUUGUAUGUACUUUAUGAAUAAGGAUCGGCUAACUCCGUGCCAGCAGCCGCGGUAAUACGGAGGAUGCGAGCGUUAUCCGGAUUUAUGGGGUUUAAAGGGUGCGUAGGCGGAUCGUUAAGUCAGUGGUCAAAUUGAGGGGCUCAACCCCUUCCCGCCAUUGAAACUGGCGUUCUUGAGUGGAAGAGAAGUAUGCGGAAUGCGUGGUGUAGCGGUGAAAUGCAUAGAUAUCACGCAGAACCCCGAUUGCGAAGGCAGCAUGCCGGCUUCCGACUGACGCUGAAGCACGAAAGCGUGGGGAUCGAACAGGAUUAGAUACCCUUGUAGUC
rnacentral:rRNA from 1 species